rnacentral:rRNA from 1 species
CCUACGGGAGGCAGCAGUGGGGGAUCUUUCACAAUGGAGGAAACUCUGAUGCAGCGACGCCGCGUGAGGGAAGAAGGCCUUCGGAUUGUAAACUUCUGUCUUUGGGGAAGAAAAUGAUGGUAACCAAUGAGUAAGCAUCGGCUAACUACGUGCCAGCAGCCGCGGUAAUACGUAGGGGCCGAGCAUUGUCCGGAAUUACUGGGUGUAAGGGGUGCGGUGGGGGGCGUAAUAGUUUAGUGGUAAAUGGACGUGCUUAAAUGGUGGCUGCUUGCAAAACUUCUUCUCUUGAGUGAAUUAGAGGCAAGCGGAAUUUCUAGUGUAGCAGUGAAAUGCGUAGAUAUUAGAAGGAACACCGAUAGCGAAGGCGGGUUGCUGGGACUUAUCUGACGCUGAGGCUCGAAAGCGUAGGGAGCAAACAGGAUUAGAUACCCGGGUAGUC